UCGGGAAUUUUGCGCAAUGGACGAAAGUCUGACGCAGCAACGCCGCGUGAGGGAUGAAGGCCUUCGGGUUGUAAACCUCUUUUAUCAGGGAAGAUAAUGACGGUACCUGAUGAAUAAGUCACGGCUAACUACGUGCCAGCAGCCGCGGUAAUACGUAGGUGACAAGCGUUGUCCGGAUUUACUGGGCGUAAAGAGCGCGCAGGCGGUCGUUCAAGUCGAGUGUGAAAGCCCCCGGCUCAACUGGGGAGGGUCAUUCGAUACUGAUCGACUCGAAGGCAGGAGAGGGUAGUGGAAUUCCCGGUGUAGUGGUGAAAUGUGUAGAUAUCGGGAGGAACACCAGUGGCGAAGGCGACUACCUGGCCUGUUCUUGACGCUGAGGCGCGAAAGCUAGGGGAGCAAACGGGAUUAGAUACCCCGGUAGUCCUAGCCGUAAACGAUGGACACUAGGUGUUGGUGGUAUCAACCCCGCAGUGCCGAAGCUAACGCAUUAAGUGUCCCG
rnacentral:rRNA from 1 species